UCUGGCUUUCGUUUGCUGGCAUUUGCUUAAGAGAACAUUUGGAGUUUGAGAGGAGAAUGACUGAGGAUUUCUUCCCAUGAACUCACUCAAUGUACUUGCACAGCUGGGGCGGUAGAAUUCCUUUGGAUUAGUUACACAAAAUCCCAACAUGAUUUUAUGAAGCUUUGGUCUCAGAAUUUGCAGAUUUGGGAACCUCUUGAUGACCCCGUUUAACUAAAGCGGUUGCAUCCCCUGCCCUUCUUGCUGCUGCUUUCUUUAUUUUAGUAGCCUUUACUGCAUUCUCAUUUUAAAGAAGAAUCUUUACAAUGUGUGGUAUGGUAACAUUAUAAUUACUAUUUUUUUUUAAUAGGGAACUCCUGAAUUUGUAACUGCAACAGAAUGUGUGCACUACUUUGAGUGGAGGACCACUGCAGCCUGCAAGAAAGACAUAUUUAAAGCAAAUAAGGAGGUGCCAUGCUAUGUGUUUGAUGAAGAGUUGAGGAAGCAUGAUCUCAAUCCUCUGAUCAAGCUUAGUGGUGCCUACUUGGUGGAUGACUCCGAUCCGGACACUUCUCUAUUCAUCAAUGUUUG
rnacentral:lncRNA from 1 species